rfam:Stegodyphus mimosarum contig109752, whole genome shotgun sequence.
GCCUUCGUGGUGUAGUGGUCAGCAUGCUCGACGCGUAUUCGAGAGGUCAGUGGUUCGAGUCGCGGUGAGGGCA